UACGGGGGGGCAAGCGUUGUUCGGAAUUACUGGGCGUAAAGGGCUCGUAGGCGGCCAACUAAGUCGGAUGUGAAAUCCCCAGGCUUAACCUGGGAACUGCCUUUGUGACUGCAAGGCUUGAGUGCGGCAGAGGGGAUGGAAUUCCGCGUGUAGCAGUGAAAUGCGUAGAUAAUGCGGAGGAACACCGAUGGCGAAGGCAAUCCCCUGGGCCUGCACUGACGCUCAUGCACGAAAGCCGUGGGGGAGCAA
rnacentral:rRNA from 1 species